CAUUUUAUUGAUUGAACAAGUUUCACAAUCAUUACAAUUAUUGAAUUUAAAAUUGCACUUAUUAGCUAAUAUUCUUAUUACAAAAUCAUUAGCAUGACAAAAUCUGCCAUGCAAUAGAUCAUCUAUAUUUCUAAUUAUACUACAAGCUACUAAUCAAGUAGCUCCAUUAUCUCCUUCUUGAAGUCCAGGCCUUAGAUGAUACAAGCCUCCAGUACAAGCUACAAAUUCGGAUAGUAAACAAACCGAAUUCGAAUAUCCGGAUAUUAAACGAAUUCGAAUUCGGAUAUGAUGUAAUUCAGUUCGAAUUCGAUUCAUUUACAAGCCUACGAACAUGGUCACUACACCAGCAACUAGGGCUUCGGAUAGCCCAAGGUGAAUGGAGAUACCCGUAUAGGUUGGGAGAGGUUUCAAGUCGACUUUUUCAGAGAUCGACUUUUCAGAAGUCGCCCUGAUUAAAGUCGACCUCUAGAAAAGUCGAAUCCAGAAAGUCCACUUGGAACCAGAUCUGAGCAGUUAGACAGUUACGACCCUAAUGAUCAGAUUGCCCUAUUGAGCAAAGGGUCAGUCCUAUUCAUUUGGGCAGGUUGAAUUUCAGAGAGAUGUUUCAGUGAAGCAGAGUCAAAGAAACUGAAUAGUUCGAACUGAUUUUCCUGAGGAGUUUCCAGCUUGGCGCUUGUUCAAAACAUCGUCGAGCACUGAUUAGAUUCCACCCUCAUCACAAAUAUAAACAUGAUUGGGUAAUAACAUUCAUUUCCAUCUUUAUUUGUUUCAAAUGUAGACUCAACAACAUAAGUUAUCCAUCCAUUCUUUAUAAAACAAAAAUAUCUGAAUAUUUGAUAUUCUUCCAAAUUUAAACAGAUUAAAUUUAAAUAUAUUCUGUUAUUUUCUGUUUGUAUCAUUCAAAUUUAGACGUCGAUAAAAGCAUGUGAUCCGCUCCCCAUAUGGCGGCCAUAUAUAAAAACCAAAAUUUCACAUGUUUCCAGUCAAUGUUGACGUUAAUAUUUAUGAUAUUGAAAUCUGUUUAUGAAGUUUGAUAUCAUUUUCUAUUUUUAUCCUAAACUUAUUUUUUUUACAAAUAGAUUAAUCAAAUUAAAUUUAUAUAUAGUAGUUAUUUAUAAAUGCAUCCAUGAGAUAUUGUCUGAGAUAUCAUUUAUUUUAUCGUUAAUUUUUCAUCGUUAUUUCUACGGAUCUAUUUUAUGUAUUGGUUUAGCGUAGGAGUCGCCUCGGUCCCGCCCCAUUCCGUUCCGCGCUCCGGUGGUAACCGGGGGCGGGCCAGAAUAUCUGCCCUGGUUUUCGUUUUUUCCCUCGUUGCCCCGAUCAUAUUCAGUGGCGGGUCUCGGGGCAGUGCGAAACCCGGGAGGGUCGCCCCGGUUUGAAAAAAUUAAUUUUUAUUAUUUUAAAUUAUAUUAUAUUAGAUAUAGGUUUAUUAAAAUUAAAAAUUUUAAGAAUUAAAUUUUAAAUUUACCCACCCGCCCGUGACCCACCUCAUUUUCACCUUUGUUUUAGCCACACAAAAAAUAGCUAAUAAAUAAAUAUCUAUCUUUUCUAUUUCUCAUAUCUUACAAUAUAUAUAUUAUCUCUCGGCCCGACUUUAAAUUAUUGCUUACAAUGUCUUCAUCGUCAUCUACCGAAUCUUCAAAUGUAACCAGGUUUUCUUCAACAGAUGAGGAAAAAGUGAGAUUCGAGGACUCUUCAACGUUUAUAAAGUCGUCAUCUACCGAAUCUUGAAUUGCAACCAGGUUUUCUUCAACAGAUGAGGAAGAAGGGAAAUUCGAGGAAUCUUCAACGUUUAUAACGUCGUCAUCUACCGAAUCUUCAAUUGCAACCAGGUUUUCUUCAACAGAUGAGGAAAGAGUGAGUUCCGAGUACUCUUCAACAUUUACAACGUCGUCAUCUAUGGAAUCAUCAAUGGAAACCAGAUUUUCUUCGUCGUCGAAAAGAAAAGAUGGGUUGGAAAAUCCUUUAAGGAAGGACAAACCAGUAUUAUCUUUGGACUCAAC
rnacentral:lncRNA from 1 species